UACGAAUAGGGCAAGUGUUAUUCUUCGUGAUUGGGCGUAAAGGGUGCGUAGACGGUAUAUUAAACUUUUUUAAAAAUUCCAUAAUUAACUUAUGGUUAUAAAAAACCGAUUAUAUUGCUAGAGUUUUUUUAAAUUAGUGGCAUUUUAAAGUAUGGUUAGACAUCAUUGGAGAUUGGAAGGGCCACCGACAGUGUAGACAACUAAUUAAAGAAGACUGACGUUGAGGCACGAAGGUUUGGGGAGCAAACAGG
rnacentral:rRNA from 1 species